rnacentral:rRNA from 1 species
GACGAACGCUGGCGGCGUGCUUAACACAUGCAAGUCGAACGGAAAGGCCCUGCUUUUGUGGGGUGCUCGAGUGGCGAACGGGUGAGUAACACGUGAGUAACCUGCCCUUGACUUUGGGAUAACUUCAGGAAACUGGGGCUAAUACCGGAUAGGAGCUCCUGCUGCAUGGUGGGGGUUGGAAAGUUUCGGCGGUUGGGGAUGGACUCGCGGCUUAUCAGCUUGUUGGUGGGGUAGUGGCUCACCAAGGCUUUAACGGGUAGCCGGCCUGAGAGGGUGACCGGCCACAUUGGGACUGAGAUACGGCCCAGACUCCUACGGGAGGCAGCAGUGGGGAAUAUUGCACAAUGGUCGGAAGCCUGAUGCAGCAACGCCGCGUGCGGGAUGACGGCCUUCGGGUUGUAAACCGCUUUCGCCUGUGACGAAGCGUGAGUGACGGUAAUGGGUAAAGAAGCACCGGCUAACUACGUG